AGAAUUAUUAUUUUGAUGGAAAAACCAAAUUUUGCUUCUUAGCCUACGUUGUUAAAAAUUAUGACGAUAUUCGUUCUUAUUUAGCUCGAAAACGUUAUGGAAAAAGGGUUUAUUGGAUAAAUGUGGCAACUCCCCUCUUGCAAAAAAAAGGCCUUGUGAGUAUUCCGAUGUCAUCGGGCUAGAAAUUUUAGUUGGACCUGGCAACCCUGGAGAGCUUUCAGUUGACGUAGAACGCCUCCUGGCGGCCAUGUUGGAAGACCACCGCAUUAAUUAUUUUGACAACAGCCGAAGGGCUACCCCAAACGGAAUGAUAAAAGUGACUAGAACUAGUUGAUUCAUCACCACGGUCAUUUUCUUUGGAGUAUAUGGCUGCUCAAACGAGGCCGGAAACACAAAGGGGGGAAAAGAUGUUUACAGAUUCCCCGCAAUCAUGAAACACCAAUGAGAUAAGACUCAAGAACUCAGAAAAGCAAAGAAACCUUUUUGCCCGUCAAGACCUCAACCCAGACAGCUCUCAAUACAGGGUUUGCUACGAUCAUUUCAUCAUUGGUCGCUGUUGUAAAUGAGAACUUGUUCUCAACUGGCCUACCUGGUUGAAUAAAGAGAAUAUUUCAAAAUGAGAAGAUCCUGCCAUGGAAAAGACAACUGGGUGGACAUAAAGUGGAAAGGAGGGGAAAUAACUCACACCAUGCAGCUGGACACCUUCAGCUAUGGCCAAGGAAGUUGCACAGAACUUCCCCAACAUCCCCUCCCAAAUUGAUAUGGAACCUUCAAAAACACAUGGAGCAACUGCGAAAUGAAAUGAGUGAGGAUAUACUAAAAAUGUCUGAGUUCAACAAAGCCAACAACUGCUUCAUCUGUGCCACUGAUAAAGAACGUGGAUGUGGCCCAGAGACUGACUGGGAAUGAAGACAAAAGAGUUCAACAGAGUAAAGAACACAAACUGGAAGUGCUGUCUUUGUUGUUGAAAAUGUAUGCUAUACCUCAUCCACACUGAAGAGGCUCUGAAAUGUACAUCAACCAGGGAUAAAGAGAAAGUUAACACUGUGAAAUGUUUCAUACUUAAUUGAAGUUAAGUGUCUGUUGACAUGUUGGAAAAGAUUAAAGGUCUACAAUUUG